rnacentral:lncRNA from 1 species
AUUAUUUUUGGGCAGUUUUAACCAAUUACCCUUCACAAGAAAUAACCAGUGAAAUAUAGGGCUCGUUUAUGAUAUAUUUAGCACAGUUUGAGUUAUUUUUUAUAUGUCUAGGUGGUUUCCAGGAGGCUAGUUUUCCGAAAUCUGCACCGGAAGUAAUACAGUUAAGAGAAUUGAGUACACAAAAUUCUCAGGGUUAUGUGGAAGAAAAUCAAGAAACUAGCCCAAUUUUUGAAAAGGAUGAUGUGCACAGUAUAAAUGGCAGUUCAAGUCAUGGCUUAGCUGAAAAAACUUCAGCAGCUAACAGAGACAAUGUUAAGCAACAAAACACUAAGACUGAUAUAUGGUGGCUGAACCUCCGUUACGUUCUAUGAAGGUAAUUCUCAUGGAAAGAGAUUCUAAUGGAGGGCAAAAAGCACUCUAUAUGUUAAAGCUCACUUCCACGGGACAGGACCAAGGUGUUGAUUCCUAUAUUGUUGCUUUUGAGGAUCAAGGAGAUGCCAACAACUUCUGUGUGCUAUUGGAAUCCUAUUUUGAAGACUUGGAUGAUUUUAGUGCUUCGCCAGUUCCAAUGACUAUACCAGAACUCAGUGAAGAAAUGGCAUCACAUGCCAAUAAAGUAGUAGUUGUGAAAAAGAGGCAGCUUCAACUCUAUGCUGGGCAACCAUUUACUGAUGUGGAGAUGACCUUGCGCUCCGUAAUAGAACAAUAUCAAAAUGUGCCAUAAUUAAUCGCGUCGAUAUGAUUGUUUCUUUAUCAAAUACCACACAGAAUGCCUAGAGUCAAGAAACAGCAAUUCCCACCUCAAUUGCUGACCAUGCAAUUCUGGACACUUGGUCAAAGAAUGUAUCCGAACACAGGUUUAAAGAAUGCUUAGUAGUAUACUUCAUUUUAGAAAAUUUUCUAUGUAUUAAAAGUUCAGAUGUUGAUGAGUUGCAAAAAUACCCCACCAAGUCAAGUAGUAGUUCUUGUAUUAGAAGUCCUAGGAUCAAACAUUAUUGGGAGUAAAUGAGGUGGUGGGGUGGGUAUGUGGGGAAAUUCACACUCUAGGUGCAAUAUCAAAUCGAAAAUUUGGAUAAAUUUUAGAGUAAACACCCAUUUACGUCCCUCAUAAUUUUCGGCAUCCCCCGUUUGGUCCCUCACAAAU